rnacentral:rRNA from 2 species
AUGGUUAAGUUAGAAAGGGCGCACGGUGAAUGCCUUGGCACUAGGAGCCGAUGAAGGACGGGACUAACACCGAUAUGCUUCGGGGAGCUGUAAGUGAGCUUUGAUCCGGAGAUUUCCGAAUGGGGAAACCCACUGUUCGUAAUGGAACAGUAUCUUUAUCUGAAUACAUAGGAUAUUGAAGGCAGACCCGGGGAACUGAAACAUCUAAGUACCCGGAGGAAGAGAAAGCAAAUGCGAUUUCCUGAGUAGCGGCGAGCGAAACGGAAUUAGCCCAAACCAAGAGGCUUGCCUCUUGGGGUUGUAGGACACUCUAUACGGAGUUACAAAGGAACGAAGUAAAUGAAGCGACCUGGAAAGGUCCGUCGAAGAAGGUAACAACCCUGUAGUUGAAACUUCGUUCCCUCUUGAGUGGAUCCUGAGUACGGCGGAACACGUGAAAUUCCGUCGGAAGCUGGGAGGACCAUCUCCCAAGGCUAAAUACUACCUAGUGACCGAUAGUGAACCAGUACCGUGAGGGAAAGGUGAAAAGCACCCCGGAAGGGGAGUGAAAGAGAUCCUGAAACCGUGUGCCUACAAGUAGUCAGAGCCCGUUAACGGGUGAUGGCGUGCCUUUUGUAGAAUGAACCGGCGAGUUACGAUCCCAUGCAAGGUUAAGCUGAUAAGGCGGAGCCGUAGCGAAAGCGAGUCUGAAUAGGGCGUUUAGUAUGUGGUUGUAGACCCGAAACCAGGUGAUCUACCCAUGUCCAGGGUGAAGUUCAGGUAACACUGAAUGGAGGCCCGAACCCACGCACGUUGAAAAGUGCGGGGAUGAGGUGUGGGUAGCGGAGAAAUUCCAAUCGAACCUGGAGAUAGCUGGUUCUCUCCGAAAUAGCUUUAGGGCUAGCCUCAUGUUGUGAGAGUCUUGGAGGUAGAGCACUGAUUGGACUAGGGGCCCCCAACGGGUUACCGAAUUCAGUCAAACUCCGAAUGCCAAAGACUUAUCCAUGGGAGUCAGACUGCGAGUGAUAAGAUCCGUAGUCAAAAGGGAAACAGCCCAGACCACCAGCUAAGGUCCCCAAGUAUACGUUAAGUGGAAAAGGAUGUGGAGUUGCUUAGACAACCAGGAUGUUGGCUUAGAAGCAGCCACCAUUUAAAGAGUGCGUAAUAGCUCACUGGUCGAGUGACUCUGCGCCGAAAAUGUACCGGGGCUAAACGUAUCACCGAAGCUGUGGAUUGACAUCU